UGGACACGAAGAAGAUAGACUGAUGG
rnacentral:piRNA from 1 species